rnacentral:lncRNA from 12 species
UCCUCCUAAAUGGGUUGUGUACUGUAUCUUCCUCCAGGGACACUGAGGAGGCGAGGAUACUGAGACACCCCAUAAUACUGCAAGUGCUUCUGAGAUACUGAAUCAAUGCAGUUGGAGACACCACAGACUUACCUAACCUUCAUCCUCCCACCAAGGAAAGCUCCCUGGACACAUCUACUGCCAUGAGAUGUCUCAGCCAAGGAUUUGGAGCCAAGAUAUGAAGAAAAUGCUUUAACCAGAUGUGUGCCCAUGCCUGUGACUCUGAACUUUCAGAUGCUGGUAUUUAAAAAGAUUGCCAUCUUCCCUGUCUCCCAGCAGCAAGGGAAGACUGAAGCCACAGAGCAUGGAAACCAGCUUUUCUAGCUACCCAAGGGCAGUAAAAACAUCUACAGACUGAUCUUCUACCGCUGCUCUGGAGCACUGGAACUUGCAGUUGUAUAUGUUUUCAGGACACAAGCCA